rnacentral:rRNA from 1 species
GCUUGUCUCAAAGAUUAAGCCAUGCAUGUCUUAGUGUAAAUAACUCUUAUGAAACUGCGAAUGGCUCAUUAAAUCAGUUAUCAAAUACGUGAUGGUCGCCUACUACAUGGAUAACCGUAGUAAUUCUAGAGCUAAUACAUGCACAAAGCGACCUUCACGGGUCGUGUAUUUAUUAGAUACAAUCAGCCCUUCGGGUCAUGAUGAAUCAUAAUAACUGAACUAAGCGCAUGCUUUGGCGGCGCUGUUUCAUUCAAGUUUCUGCCCUAUCAGCUUUCGAUGGUAGGGUAUUGGCCUACCAUGGCGUUAACGGGUAACGGAGAAUUAGGGUUCGAUUCCGGAGAGGGAGCCUGAGAGAUGGCUACCACAUCCAAGGAAGGCAGCAGG